UUGGAGGGCAGUCUGGUGCCAGCAGCCGCGGUAAUUCCAGCUCCAAUAGCGUAUAUUAAAGCUGUUGCAGUUAAAAAGCUCGUAGUUGAAUUUCGGGGUUCUACCGUUGGUCGGGCUUUGUCUGUACUGGUGUGUAGAAUUUCUACCUUCUCUCGGAACCAUCAUGCUAUUAAUUUAGCGUGGUGGGAAACCAGGACCUUUACCUUGAAAAAAUUAGUGUGUUCAGAGCAGGCUUAUGUCUGAAUACAUUAGCGUGGAAUAAUAGAAUAGGACGGUGGUCCUGUUUUGUUGGUUUCUGAAUCACCGUAAUGAUUAAUAGGGAUAGUUGGGGGCAUUAGUAUUCAAUUGUCAGAGGUGAAAUUCUUGGAUUUAUUGAAGACUAACUUCUGCGAAAGCAUUUGCCAAGGAUGUUUUCAUUAAUCAAGAACGAAAGUUAGGGGAUCGAAGACGAUCAGAUACCGUCGUAGUCUUAACCAUAAACUAUGCCGACUAGGGAUCGGACGAUGUUAAUUUUUCUUGACUCGUUCGGCGCCUUACGGGAAAC
rnacentral:rRNA from 1 species